rnacentral:rRNA from 1 species
UACGGAGGGUGCAAGCGUUAUCCGGAUUCACUGGGUUUAAAGGGUGCGUAGGCGGGCAGGUAAGUCAGUGGUGAAAUCCCCGAGCUUAACUUGGGAACUGCCGUUGAUACUAUCCGGCUAGAGGAAUGGAGGGGAGACUGGAAUACUUGGUGUAGCAGUGAAAUGCGUAGAUAUCAAGUGGAACACCCGUGGCGAAGGCGGUUCUCUGGGACGGUACUGACGCUGAGACGCGAAAGCGUGGGGAGCGAACAGG